rnacentral:rRNA from 1 species
ACGAACGCUGGCGACGUGCCUAACACAUGCAAGUCGAGCGAGGAGAUUCCUCGGGAUGAUCCUAGCGGCGGACGGGUGAGUAACACGUGGGCAACCUGCCUCAUAGAGAGGAAUAGCCUUCCGAAAGGGAGAUUAAUACCUCAUAACAUUGCAGUUUCGCAUGGAACAGCAAUUAAAGGAGCAAUCCACUAUGAGAUGGGCCCGCGGCGCAUUAGCUAGUUGGUGAGGUAACGGCUCACCAAGGCGACGAUGCGUAGCCGACCUGAGAGGGUGAUCGGCCACAUUGGGACUGAGACACGGCCCAGACUCCUACGGGAGGCAGCAGUGGGGAAUAUUGCACAAUGGGGGAAACCCUGAUGCAGCCAACGCCGCGUGAGUGAUGACGGCCUUCGGGUUGUAAAGCUCUGUCUUCAGGGACGAUAAUGACGGUACCUGAGGAGGAAGCCACGGCUAACUACGUGCCAGCAGCAGC